AUUAUUUUGGCAGAGUAGUGCGCUAGACUUAGAAUCUUUUUAAGUAAAUUUUAUUUUACAAGUAAUA
rnacentral:tRNA from 1 species